AAAUAAAUGGCCAAAUCAACAUUUAAGUAAAUAGGGUUUCAAACAAUUUAGGAUUAAUUUUCCCCAUUUUUUUUUAAAUCAACCAAGAGAAUUCAGAACACCACACACACACACACACACACACACACACACGCACAUGCACACACAGAGUCCCCCCUCCCCCAAAUUAAAAUCGACCUGGAUAGUGCCAUUUCAGAGCAUGAUUGUAACAAAUCUAAGUUUCAUCUAAAUAAAUAAUUCUCUAUGACUUAGGGUAGUGAUUACACAAUUAUGAACCAUCACCAAAACUUACAUUGUUUAAGAGUAAGUGAUCUUUCUUUUCAAGAAGUGGCUCACGAAUGUUUUCUUAAGUAAAUUAUAAUGAUAAAUCGCCAGUAGUAUCUUAAAUAAAUAUCUUCUAACAUUUUCCCCUUGAUUUCCAUGCCCAAGGUGAACAAUUUAUUUUAGGAGGAUUAUUUCUGCUGACAAGGAAGUUAAGAAAAAAAAUCACUCAGCUGAAGAAGGUUUCCUGAUAAUCACGGAAUCUUUGAAAGCUUGGCCCUGGAUAUCAUUAGAUGACAGUCUCACCCCAGGGUCCCCUUGCCGGGAGGAAACCCGGUCUAGGUUGCAAAAAAAUCUUGAAACAUGGAAGCCAACAGUAGGUGAAGUCCAAAGUUUCCCUUUGUUAAUUCCCCAAAUGUCUGUAAGUAAGUUACUCUCUGAUGGUGUCCUUAUAUCCAAAAAGUGAGCAUCUUUCCUCU